rnacentral:rRNA from 1 species
CACGCCCUAAACGAUGCUGACUAGUUGUUCGGGAUUUACAUCCUGAGUAACGUAGCUAACGCGUGAAGUCAGCCGCCUGGGGAGUACGGUCGCAAGAUUAAAACUCAAGGAAUUGACGGGGACCCGCACAAGCGGUGGAUGAUGUGGAUUAAUUCGAUGCAACGCGAAAAACCUUACCUACCCUUGACAUGUCACUAACGAAGUAGAGAUACAUUAGGUGCCCGUAAGGGAAAGUGAACACAGGUGC